AUGGUGGCUCUGGCCUGCUUUGAGCUCAGGAACCAGGGCCUCAGGCCUCGUUUUCUAGACGGAUUCACAGUGACAUCUCUUCAAGAAGUCCCCUUGCAGACUUCCAACUUUGCCCAUGUCAUCUUUCAAAAUGUGGCCAAGAGUUAUCUUCCUAAUGCACACCUGGAAUGUCAUUACACUUUAACUCCAUAUAUCCAUCCACAUCCAAAAGAUUGGGUUGGUAUGUUCAAGGUUGGAUGGAGUACUGCUUGCGAUUAUUACACAAUUUUAUGGUCUCCUAUGCCUGAACAUUACAUAGAAGGAUCAACAGUUAAUUGUGUAUUAGCAUUUCAAGGAUAUUACUUUCCAAAUGAUGAUGGAGAAUUUUAUCAGUUCUGUUAUGUUACCCAUAAGGGUGAAAUUCAUGGGACAAGUACACCUUUCCAGUUUCAAGUUUCUCCAGUUGAAGAGUUACUGUGGAAGAUGAAGGAAAUUCUGACAUGUUGGUGGUAAUCAAAAAGCUGGCCUUCUUGAGUUGAAAACUGAAGAAACCAUGAAAAAAAAAGAACUAUUAAAGUUAAUUGCUGUUCUGGAAGAAGAAACAACACAACUUUGAGAAUAAGUUGGAAGACUGGAAAGAGAGCUUAAACAUCAAAAAGAUGUGACCAACUGCAAGCAGAGCAAAAGGGUCUUGUUGAAGUAUCACAAAAUUAAAAAUGGAAAAUUAAGAAAUUAAGAAGAGAUACAAUGAUGCUACAUCCAAAGCUCUCCGGCUUGAGGAAGAUAUUGUGUCAGUGACACAUAAAGCAAUUGAAAAAGAAACUGAAUUAGACAGUUUAAAGGACAAACUCAGGAAGGCACAAUAUGAAAGAGAACAACUGGAACAUCAGUUGAAGUUGGAAAAGGAUGAGAAGGAACUUUAUAAGGUACAAUUUGAAGAACACCGAAAUAGAAAAUACCAAGCUUGUGUCAGAGGUCCAGACUUUAAAGAAUUUAGAUGGGAACAAAGAUAAAAGCAUGAUUACUCAUUUCAAAGAAGAGACUGGCAGGCUGUAGUUCUGUUUGGCUGAAAAGGAAAAUCUGCAAAGGGCUUUCUUGUUUACAACCUCAAGUAAGGAAGAUACUUCUUUUUUUUUUAAGGAACAACUUCAUAAGCAGAGGAACACGUUCAGGCAACUCGGCAAAAGUUGUCUUUCUGGCCAAAGAACUUUUAGUGAUGCUGUAUAUGUGCAAGAUAAAACAAUGGCAGAUCUGCAUACUGCACACUUGGAAAAAAGCUGAUGCAGUGACAGAACUUAAACUAAAUGCUGUGGAGGAAAAAAGGCCAGGAAAAGACUGAUAGACUGGAACGUGAACUGAGAAGUUGAAGACUUGAAACUUUGUCUUCAGAUGGCGGCAGAUCAUUACAAAGAAAAAAUCAAGGAAUGCUAGAGGCUCCAAAAUCAAAUAAACUUUCAGACCAAUCAGCCAAUAGCAACAGUGUCUUCACAAAGAAAAUUGGAAAUCAGCAAAAAAGGGAAUGGUGCCUCCAUAAAUGCCGACCCAGCUACUGCUGGGUCUACUAUAGAUAUAAAGCCACCCCUGUCUGCAGCUGAGACAGAUUCUGACGGUGUAACAAAGGGGCAAGUCUGUGAAGUGACCAAAGAAACUGCUGACAAAACAGAAAAAUAUAAAAAAGGUAAGUGACUCUUGCAGGAUGAGAAAACAAAAUUCAAUAAAUAUGUCAAUGAACUGCAAACAUGGAGCUGAAAUGGAAAGAGCAAGUGAAGACUGCUGGAAAUAUAACACUAGCACUAGCUGAAGUAGAGGACAAUUACAAACUUCAACUGACAGAGAAAGACAAAGAUAAAUGGUCUAACUUCACAUCUGGAAAACUUCUCCAGAGAGAAGGAACUUAAAAGGAGUCUAGAAAAUCAAGCAGAAAGGAAAAUGGAAGGUCAGAAUUCCCAGAGUCCUCAGAAGAUCUCACGGUGUCUCGACACCUGCUCUGAGCAAAAUGGUCAUGUUGCUGCAGUGCGGAAUACACAGCCAGUUCUGCAGUCUGGUGAUCCUUAACGCAACACAGGAAACCAGGGUUGGUGCAGAUGGUGCUGUUUACCCAGGUGAAAUCCAAAGGCUGCCUGUGAGAGUACCUUCUUGGGGAAUGGAAGAUCAUGUUGUCUGCAGCCAGCCUGCUGGAAACAUUAGUGGGCUUGAUGGUUUAGAAGACCCUGAGGACAGUAAAGAAGAUGAGAAUGAAUGCCCUGCAAGUAGGACUUUCCUUUUGGAAUUUGAGAGGGAGUUCCUGGAAUGA